GUGGGCUUGCCCGAGAGGUUUAGGGGCUGGUCCGCAAAACCAGUUAGGACGGUUCGAUUCCGUCAGCCCACU
rnacentral:tRNA from 1 species